CACGUAGGGGGCAAGCGUUGUCCGGAAUUACUGGGCGUAAAGCGCGCGCAGGCUGUUUGGUCAGCAGCGGGUGAAAUCACAGGGCUCAACUCUGUGGCUGCUCGCUGAACUGCCAGACUAGGGUUCGGGAGAGGGCAGUGGAAUUCCUGGUGUAGCGGUGGAAUGCGUAAAUAUCAGGAGGAACACCCGUGGCGAAAGCUGCUGCCUGGAACGAUACCGACGCUGAGGCGCGAAAGCUAGGGGAGCGAACGGGAUUAGAUA
rnacentral:rRNA from 1 species